rnacentral:rRNA from 1 species
AUCUGGAGAAGCAUUUUCCGCGUCGGACCGUGUACAAGUUUCUUGGAAUAGAACGUCAUAGAGGGUGAGAAUCCCGUCCAUGACACGGACUACCGAUGCUUUGUGAUAUGCUCUCGAAGAGUCGAGUUGUUUGGGAAUGCAGCUCAAAAUGGGUGGUAAAUUCCAUCUAAAGCUAAAUAUUGGCGAGAGACCGAUAGCGAACAAGUACCGUGAGGGAAAGAUGAAAAGCACUUUGGAAAGAGAGUUAAACAGUACGUGAAAUUGUUGAAAGGGAAACGCUUGAAGUCAGUCGCGUUGGCAGAGACUCAGCCUUGCUUUGCAUGGUGUACUUCUCAGUUAACGGGUCAACAUCAAUUUCAGUUGGUGGAUAAAGGCAUUGGGAAUGUGGCACCUUCGGGUGUGUUAUAGACCUUUGUUGCAUACACUGACCGGGAUUGAGGAACGCAGCACGCCACUACGGCCAGGGAUUCGUCCCAUGUAACGUGCUUAGGAUGUUGGCAUAAUGGCUUUAAGCGACCCGUCUUGAAACACGGACCAAGGAGUCUAACAUGCCUGCGAGUAUUAGGGUGGAAAACCCUUGUGCGUAAUUAACGUGAAAGUUGGGACCUCUUGCGAGGGCACCGACGCCCGGCCCUGAAGUUUACUGACGGCGCUGCGGUAGAGCAUGUAUGUUGGGACCCGAAAGAUGGUGAACUAUGCCUGAAUAGGGUGAAGCCAGGGGAAACUCUGGUGGAGGCUCGUAGCGAUUCUGACGUGCAAAUCGAUC